rnacentral:tRNA from 1 species
UAUAUAGUGGAGUAAUAGGUAACUCAAAGGGCUCAUGCCCCUUAGCUGUUGGUUCGAAUCCAGCCUAUGUUU